UUGGAUUUCCUUUGGCAGGGUUCCCUUGUAUGGAAGUUCUCGGGAGAACAACACUCUCAGAGUCCCAUUGUCUCAAAGAAUUCUUAAUGGACAGCUAUACUUGGCCCCAAGGUUCCAACCUCACAUUGAAGAAAGUGACAUAAGAAAACACAAGUCCCAGCGCUAUCAGGGGCUAUCUGGAAAAGCUGCUUAAACGGCAAGUGAAAGAAGGCUCUCCCCUACCCCGUUCUAGGUGAGGAACAGGUGGCUGGUGAGUUUUUAACUUGAUAGGAGAAUCUAAUAACCUCACCACCCAACAAUACUGAUAGCUUUCCUAUAUGCGCUGAAACUGUUGACAAUACCUAAAGGGAACAGCCUUAGAGAGUGCAGAGCAGGGAAAGUUUAUACGUUUGCUAGUUACAAAACAGAUGGCACUGUUUUCAUAGUCCAGUGAUACUGGGAGAUCAUAAAAUAAAAUGUCAAUGGCAAGACAGUGACAAUGGGGGGCAGUGAGGCUGGCAAAUGGAGAUGAGACUAAAGCUAAUUUGCUAGAAAAAAAUGACUUCAUUAGGUCAGGGAGGUGGAAGAACAACCAGUUUUGAGCCGAGAUUGUGCCACUGCACUCCAACCUGGGCAACAGAGCAAGACUCUGUCUCCAAAAAAAAAGAAAAAAAUUUAAAAAAGAUACACAGCAUAUAUUAAGUGAAAAAUGGAUUAUU
rnacentral:antisense_RNA from 1 species